rnacentral:rRNA from 1 species
GACGAACACUGGCGGCGUGCUUAACACAUGCAAGUCGAACGGAAAGGCCCUGCUUUUGUGGGGUGCUCGAGUGGCGAACGGGUGAGUAACACGUGAGUAACCUGCCCUUGACUUUGGGAUAACUUCAGGAAACUGGGGCUAAUACCGGAUAGGAGCUCCUGCUGCAUGGUGGGGGUUGGAAAGUUUCGGCGGUUGGGGAUGGACUCGCGGCUUAUCAGCUUGUUGGUGGGGUAGUGGCUUACCAAGGCUUUGACGGGUAGCCGGCCUGAGAGGGUGACCGGCCACAUUGGGACUGAGAUACGGCCCAGACUCCUACGGGAGGCAGCAGUGGGGAAUAUUGCACAAUGGGCGGAAGCCUGAUGCAGCAACGCCGCGUGCGGGAUGACGGCCUUCGGGUUGUAAACCGCUUUCGCCUGUGACGAAGCGUGAGUGACGGUAAUGGGUAAAGAAGCACCGGCUAACUACGUGCCAGCAGCCGCGGUGAUACGUAGGGUGCGAGCGUUGUCCGGAUUUAUUGGGCGUAAAGGGCUCGUAGGUGGUUGAUCGCGUCGGAAGUGUAAUCUUGGGGCUUAACCCUGAGCGUGCUUUCGAUACGGGUUGACUUGAGGAAGGUAGGGGAGAAUGGAAUUCCUGGUGGAGCGGUGGAAUGCGCAGAUAUCAGGAGGAACACCAGUGGCGAAGGCGGUUCUCUGGGCCUUUCCUGACGCUGAGGAGCGAAAGCGUGGGGAGCGAACAGGCUUAGAUACCCUGGUAGUCCACGCUGUAAACGGUGGGUACUAGGUGUGGGGUCCAUUCCACGGGUUCCGUGCCGUAGCUAACGCUUUAAGUACCCCGCCUGGGGAGUACGGCCGCAAGGCUAAAACUCAAAGGAAUUGACGGGGCCCCGCACAAGCGGCGGAGCAUGCGGAUUAAUUCGAUGCAACGCGUAGAACCUUACCUGGGUUUGACAUGGAUCGGGAGCGCUCAGAGAUGGGUGUGCCUCUUUUGGGGUCGGUUCACAGGUGGUGCAUGGCUGUCGUCAGCUCGUGUCGUGAGAUGUUGGGUUAAGUCCCGCAACGAGCGCAACCCUUGUUCACUGUUGCCAGCACGUUAUGGUGGGGACUCAGUGGAGACCGCCGGGGUCAACUCGGAGGAAGGUGGGGAUGACGUCAAGUCAUCAUGCCCCUUAUGUCCAGGGCUUCACGCAUGCUACAAUGGCUGGUACAGAGAGUGGCGAGCCUGUGAGGGUGAGCGAAUCUCGGAAAGCCGGUCUCAGUUCGGAUUGGGGUCUGCAACUCGACCUCAUGAAGUCGGAGUCGCUAGUAAUCGCAGAUCAGCAACGCUGCGGUGAAUACGUUCCCGGG